rnacentral:misc_RNA from 1 species
GAUGAAGAACGUAGCGAAAUGCGAUAAGUAAUGUGAAUUGCAGAAUUCAGUGAAUCAUCGAAUCUUUGAACGCACAUUGCGCCCCCUGGUAUUCCGGGGGGCAUGCCUGUCCGAGCGUCAUUACAACCCUCAAGCUCAGCUUGGUGUUGGGCCCCGCCGCCCCGGCGGGCCCUAAAGUCAGUGGCGGUGCCGUCCGGCUCCGAGCGUAGUAAUUCUUCUCGCUCUGGAGGUCCGGUCGUGUGCUCGCCAGCAACCCCCAAUUUUUUUCAGGUUGACCUCGGAUCAGGUAGGGAUACCCGCUGAGUUUAAGCAUAUCAAUAAGCGGAGGA